GAUGAACGCUGGCGGCGUGCCUAAUACAUGCAAGUCGAGCGAACAGAUGAGGAGCUUGCUCCUCUGACGUUAGCGGCGGACGGGUGAGUAACACGUGGAUAACCUACCUAUAAGACUGGGAUAAAUUCGGGAAACCGGAGCUAAUACCGGAUAAUAUAUUGAACCGCAUGGUUCAAUAGUGAAAGACGGUUUUGCUGUCACUUAUAGAUGGAUCCGCGCCGCAUUAGCUAGUUGGUAAGAUAACGGCUUACAAAGGAAACGAUGCGUAGCCGACCUGAGAGGUGGAUCGGCCACACGGGACCUGAGACACGGUCCAGACACCAACGGGAGGCAGCAGUAGGGAAACUUCCAGAAUGAGCGAAAGCCUGACGGAGCAACGCCGCGUGAGUGAUGAAGUUCUUCGGUUCGUAAAACUAUGUUAUUAGGGAAGAACAAAUAUGUAAGUAACUAUGCACGUCUUAACGGUACCUAAUCAGAAAGCAACGGCUAACUACGUG
rnacentral:rRNA from 1 species